rnacentral:lncRNA from 1 species
AUGGAGGGAAGUUGGUAUUCUGAAGGCAGAGGGGACUGUACGUACAGGAAUGUAAGAUUUAAAGGAAAAGAAAAACAAACCCAAACAAGACAAGUCUUCAUGUGGUCCUGGCUCGGCUUUUAUUCACAACAAUGGAGGUGCAAGUGAGCAGU